rnacentral:rRNA from 1 species
CCUACGGGAGGCAGCAGUGAGGAAUAUUGGUCAAUGGACGAGCGUCUGAACCAGCCAAGUAGCGUGAAGGAUGACUGCCCUAUGGGUUGUAAACUUCUUUUAUAUGGGAAUAAAACGUUCCACGUGUGGGAUUUUGUAUGUACCAUAUGAAUAAGGAUCGGCUAACUCCGUGCCAGCAGCCGCGGUAAUACGGAGGAUCCGAGCGUUAUCCGGAUUUAUUGGGUUUAAAGGGAGCGUAGGUGGAUUGUUAAGUCAGUUGUGAAAGUUUGCGGCUCAACCGUAAAAUUGCAGUUGAAACUGGCAGUCUUGAGUACAGUAGAGGUGGGCGGAAUUCGUGGUGUAGCGGUGAAAUGCUUAGAUAUCACGAAGAACUCCGAUUGCGAAGGCAGUUCACUGGACUGCAACUGACACUGAGGCUCGAAAGUGUGGGUAUCAAACAGGAUUAGAUACCCCAGUAGUC